rnacentral:tRNA from 1 species
UGGGUCGAUGCUCGAGUGGUUAAGGGGGACGGACUGUAAAUCCGCGGG